rnacentral:tRNA from 1 species
GUGGUGGCUCAGUGGUAGAGCGCUUGCCUAGCAUGUGUGAGGCACUGGGUUCAAUCCCCAGAACCACA